rnacentral:rRNA from 1 species
ACGUAGGGGGCAAGCGUUAUCCGGAUUCAUUGGGCGUAAAGCGCUCGUAGGCGGUCUGUUAGGUCGGGAGUUAAAUCCGGAGGCUCAACCUCCGCCCGCUCCCGAUACCGGCAGACUUGAGUUUGGUAGGGGAAGGUGGAAUUCCUAGUGUAGCGGUGGAAUGCGCAGAUAUUAGGAAGAACACCAGUGGCGAAGGCGGCCUUCUGGGCCAUAACUGACGCUGAGGAGCGAAAGCUAGGGGAGCAAACAG